CCCGGCAGCGGCCCCGAGAGCUCUCCGGAGUGAGGGGUUGAGGGCCUGCGGCCCCGAGGCUGCCCCAUGGCGGGAGCAUCAGCCGCCUUUCGCUUAAACCAAGGACAAAGGGCGGCGAUGCAGAAAUGACCCGGUUCGGUUCCGGGUGAAUGGGAAUUCGAAAGGUGUUAGCCAAGGAGCAGGGUUUUUUCACGCGGGUCUUGGGAAGCAGAAGUCGUCGUUGUGUGAAGCUGAGAUGCUGCGUCAAAGGCUGUGAUUGAAGAUUUCACUGCCAAAAAGAUCCACAAGACAAACUCUGAAGAGAAUUCAGAGUAGAAGUUGACACCUACGUUAUUACACCUGACAGUAGUGUGACAAGAAAGCAGAUCACAGCUUUCUCUAUUUUGCAGCAAGUAUGAGCUACUUCCAUAUGUUGGAGGAAGAGGUACAUAAAGGAACCACUCAUUUAAUUUCAAAGUGGGAUUACACUGAAGGAAGACAUUCUUUGGAUUAUUAAGAGCUUCUAAAAUCCAGAGCAGAAAACACAAAGAAAAAGAGAUGAAGCUCUUAGCUGGACAUAUAGUUAGGUGGGUAUGUGUGCAGCAUGUAAAUACAGAAGAAAAAUGGAGUGCGACAGACUUAAAACCCUACCCACAAACAUAAAAAGGAAAAAGAAAAGUAAAAUAAACUGUU